UAGGGAAUAUUGGACAAUGGGGGCAACCCUGAUCCAGCCAUGCCGCGUGAGUGAAGAAGGCCCUCGGGUUGUAAAGCUCUUUUGUCCGGAAAGAAAAGCUUCGGGUUAAUACCCCGGGGUUCUGACGGUACCGGAAGAAUAAGCACCGGCUAACUUCGUGCCAGCAGCCGCGGUAAUACGAAGGGUGCAAGCGUUACUCGGAAUUACUGGGCGUAAAGCGUGCGUAGGUGGUUGUUUAAGUCUGAUGUGAAAGCCCUGGGCUCAACCUGGGAAUGGCAUUGGAAACUGGGCAGCUAGAGUGCGGUAGAGGGUAGUGGAAUUCCCGGUGUAGCAGUGAAAUGCGUAGAGAUCGGGAGGAACAUCUGUGGCGAAGGCGACUGCCUGGACCAGCACUGACACUGAGGCACGAAAGCGUGGGGAGCAAAC
rnacentral:rRNA from 1 species